rnacentral:rRNA from 1 species
UAAGCAACCUGCCCCGAAGACCGGGACAACAUCUCGAGAGGGGUGCUAAUACCGGAUGUGGCCACUGGGAGACAUCUUCUGGUGAUUAAAACAAGCUAGCAAUAGUAUUGGCUUCGGGAGGGGCUUGCGGCCUAUCAGCUAGUUGGUGGGGUAACGGCCUACCAAGGCGACGACGGGUAGCUGGUCUGAGAGGACGGCCAGCCGGACUGGGACUGAGACACGGUCCAG